AGUAAUCCAGGUCCCUGUUGGAGUCAGUCAGAGCAUUUCCAUAGAGAGACACUUUGCAUCAGCAGCACCAUGCUCCAGUGCUCUGGGAGACCUUAUAGUCCUGAGAGUUGAACACUGGAUGACUGACAGCUGUCCUUCAUGACAACAGAAGCCACAGAAAUCCUCCUCAUCAAAAACAUGACUUUGAUCUGCGUCCUCAUCUGGACUCUCCUCUGCUGCUGCUUCACAGAGUCCAGAGGCCAGGUCACAGUGACUCAGUCUGGAGCAGUGAGCUCUGCUGCGGGACGCUCCGUCUCCAUCACAUGUACGACCAGUUCCCAUGUUCAUGCUGGGAUAUAUUUAGCCUGGUACCAACAGAGAGAUGGAGGAACUCCUAAACGUCUCGUUUACGGUGCUACCAGUCGAGCAUCAGGUAUUUCAGAGCGUUUUACAGGCAGUGGAUCAAACUCUGACUUCACUCUGACCAUCAGUGGAGUCCAGACUGAUGAUGCAGCAGUUUACUACUGUCAGAGUGUCCAUAUCAUCAACAGUCAGUAUGUGUUCACACAGUGAAAAAGCGUCGUACAAAAACCUCCCUCAGUCAGACUGAACAGGAACU